CUUCGUCAUUCUUCUUCUUCCCUGCCUCUUCGCUGCCUCUUUGCUCUGACAUUUAUUCUGAGUUUUCCAUUCAUUAAUCCACUCUUCGUGCAUUAUGAUUUUCAUCUACCUCUUCGUUCACCCUGUAACCGCCUAGAACUCCAUCUAUAAAUAUCGACUCUCGCUUCCAUUCACAUCACAACUCAAACAAUUUACUCAAACAAACUAUCUCCUAGAAGCAACAUAUUCAGAUGGCGAUUAAAUCUCCUAUAGGGAAUUCUCGCCACUGCUCAUCGUUUUACGAUCUGCCUUUCUAACCAUGUCACUCGAAAAGCCCCUACGAUUUGUUUUCUGACUGGUACUUGAAGAUAUAGCUCUGGUGUAUUGACUUCAGAGUUAAUGGUCCUGGAAAAUAGGUCAAACGAUAACUGUAUGUGUGAGUUGUUCUAUGAUACAAGGUUCACCCAACUCAACACUUCCUUCCUUCAUCACCAAGUCUGAGUUAUAGAUAAGGAUGAGAAUUAGGAGAAGCACAAGCCAAGACCAAAACACUAAGGUUAUCUCUCUUUGAAAAACCCUUGCAGCAACGUCUCACCCAUUAGCUUUCUUAAGGUUCACACAACAAAUUAAAGGAGAUCCAGUGCCACAAGAUCUGCUAGACAGACUGUGCGAGCUCAUAGCUGUUCUUGCUGGUGGUGCAGCUGCAAAAUCUGAAGCACUGAAGGGACAAAAAAUUUGCUACAAGCCUACAACUAAACUUUAAGUCUUCUUUAUGUCCUUUUGUAUCAAGGCUUUACUUUGAAUUUCUGCUUUUUGUUCCAGGAAGAAGUAUUAGCAAUGAGCCUUCUCGUAGACAAUCCCUUAGCUAGCUGACAAUAACAAACAGCUACCCGGAAGAUGUUAUUGGUGAGCUAAGUACAAUCAGAAGAACGUUCAACACGACGGCAAUUACCGGAAAAUAGUAUAAUGGCAACUCUACGUAUAGAAAGGGAUGUUACUCUGUGUGUUAGGGACUGGCUCUUGCAUUCCAUAGAAAAUUGGAGAGCUAUGAGUCGGAGCCCAAUGUUGUGCUAGCUACCAGCAUAAUUUCCAAGACAGUUGGAGGUUCGUUCAAAGAUUGAUAAGAUUGAGAGAAAGGGUUUAUGCAAAACCUUGGACAGCAAGAAACUAUCAGAUGCUUCCACUGAGAUUGAUGGUUCAAAUAAUAUUCUGGAGCUAGCACCAGCUGCGAUAGCCAGAACAACUAACACUGUUACCAAGAAGGAAACAACAGUUUUGAGAAGAAGCUUUGCAACAAAAAGAGAAGAAGACGAUGCAGAGAGAGUUGAAAUUCAACCUAACGAUGAUUUCAGAGCAUCACUCCUUUGAGGUUUAUGGCUUUGUGUUUGAUCCCAAGGCAACCUAUGAAAGCUACGGGUCUGAGCUGAAAGUAGUGUUACUCACUAGCAUCAAUUCUAAGGUUGUUGGAGGCCGGUUAUUUCUCAACGACACUUCUGGAACCCAUAACUACUCAACGUAUUUGUUAAACCUUUAAUAAAUGGUACACCUCCAGUGCGUAAAAUAUUUGCCAAUUGAUAUCAUCAUAUUGGUACUGUGAUGUCACCUUUAAACUCUUUAGAUAGAGUGGGGAUCCCUCAGC